rnacentral:lncRNA from 1 species
UUCUUACGUAAGAAUCAAUAAUUGAUGCAAUACUAUGUGCUACUGUGUUUUAACCUUCGAGUAUUCCAAUAGUAUUAACGAUAACAACUACGCCGUUAUUUAUAAACAACUUAUACUUGUCGUUUUCUUCAUCCAAUCGCUUUUCGUUAUGGGGCCCACACAAGGCUGCACUGUCAUACGAAUAUUCCCCGACAGCAAGAAUAUUCCACGACAAAACGAAUAUUCCCCGACAACAAUAAAUAUUUUAUAACCACUUGCUUAUUUGAAAUAUUUACGCAUUUUACUUAUAACUAACCACAUUAAUCAAAUCAACCCUUACAAUUUCAAAAUAAUAAAUAGAGGAAAUUUAAUUUCAUUUAUAAUAAGUUGGGGUCUUACAAUCAUACCAAGUCCAUCUAUGCACGUAAGCCAAAGAUGACUUUCAUCACAAUAUAAGCAUAAUGAUGAUGACAAUGACAUAAUAAUUC